CCUACGGGUGGCUGCAGUGGGGAAUAUUGGACAAUGGGGGGAACCCUGAUCCAGCCAUGCCGCGUGUGUGAAGAAGGCCCUCGGGUUGUAAAGCACUUUCAGUGAGGAAGAACGCCUGGUGGUUAAUACCCAUCAGGAAAGACAUCACUCACAGAAGAAGCACCGGCUAACUCCGUGCCAGCAGCCGCGGUAAUACGGAGGGUGCGAGCGUUAAUCGGAAUUACUGGGCGUAAAGCGCGCGUAGGUGGCUUGAUAAGCCGGUUGUGAAAGCCCCGGGCUCAACCUGGAAACGGCAUCCGGAACUGUCAAGCUAGAGUGCAGGAGAGGAAGGUAGAAUUCCCGGUGUAGCGGUGAAAUGCGUAGAGAUCGGGAGGAAUACCAGUGGCGAAGGCGGCCUUCUGGACUGACACUGACACUGAGGUGCGAAAGCGUGGGUAGCAAACAGGAUUAGAUACCCUAGUAGUC
rnacentral:rRNA from 1 species